CCAUAAGGCGCCCUAGGGCCUACCGGGACUGGGGGCUGCCCGGGGCGGGGCGCGCUGUCCGGCCCGGGCCCACUGGCGGGGGGAGGGGUGACCCGGGGGUGGGGCCGUGGGCCAGGCCCCGUUAGCGGCGGGAAGGAAAGUUUCCAACUCAGCGGGAUGGAAGGGGCCCCGGGCCGUGAAGUUACCUGCGGGUCCCGGACGGGAAGAAGGCACCAGUGGAUCCUGAGCCCGGAGCCGCCUCAGCUGCUUUGUCUCUGCGCCGCGCCCGUCCCGACUGGAGAGGAGGAAAUGGGCUCUUCCGGGCACCUCCCCCUACGGCCUAGCCGGCUCUUCCGGGCACCUCCCCCUACAGCUCCGCCGGCUCUUCCCGGGGCCGCCCGCCCUGCGCAGGGGGAAGCACUGCUGGCCUAACUGCCAUGGGGAUUUGGAGAGAGCCAAGAUAAAGGGGUCACCCAUAGUUGCUUGCUGUCUGCUGACUCCCUGCAGGCUUCUGUUCCAGAGAUGACCUGAUGUCCCUGACUGUGCUGUGUUUGCAAGAACCUCAGGGAUUGCUAUGCAGUGACAUUUACGUGCAGUGAGGCGCAAGGAAUCCUUUAGGAAACAAGAGCCUUGGGGCUAGGAUUUUGCUUGUUACAACCCUGAACUCAGCCAAAGGCCUUGCCUCGGAGUUGGAGCUGGGUUUGAACUGCUUGUCUGGAGGAAGCUCUAAUCUUGCUGUUCUCCUUGUCUAUAUCUUCUACUGUUGUGUGUUUAACACUCUCACCCUCACACCCACACAACUGCCUAGGGCAAUCUGAUAGGCUUCUGCCCAAGGACCCCUCCCUGCAACUGUUAGCAGGGUUAACAGCAAGUCCACUAGAGUGGCUUUGUGAGGUUGGAGAACCUCUGAAGUUGGGGUGGGGUGGAUACUUUUCAUUGUUUCUUUGUUA
rnacentral:lncRNA from 1 species